rnacentral:rRNA from 1 species
UACGUAGAGGGCAAGCGUUGUCCGGAUUUAUUGGGCGUAAAGCGCGUGUAGGUGGCCAAGUAGGUCCGCUGUGAAAACUUGAGGCUCAACCUCAAGCUGUCGGUGGAAACCCCUUGGCUAGAGUCCGGAAGAGGAGAGUGGAAUUCCUGGUGUAGCGGUGAAAUGCGCAGAUAUCAGGAAGAACACCAAUGGCGAAGGCAGCUCUCUGGGACGGUACUGACACUGAGACGCGAAAGCGUGGGGAGCCGAACAGG